UACGUAUGGAGCAAGCGUUAUCCGGAUUUACUGGGUGUAAAGGGAGCGCAGGCGGUCUGGCAAGUCUGAUGUGAAAGGCCGGGGCUCAACCCCGGGACUGCAUCAGAAACUGUUGAACUUGAGUGCAGAAGAGGAGAGUGGAACUCCAUGUGUAGCGGUGGAAUGCGUAGAUAUAUGGAAGGACACCAGUGGCGAAGGCGGCUCUCUGGUCUGCAACUGACGCUGAGGCUCGAAAGCAUGGGUAGCGAACAGG
rnacentral:rRNA from 1 species